rnacentral:miRNA from 1 species
AAGAUGUGGGCCAUCAGCGUCAGCCUUCGGUACUUGAAGAGUGGUUAUCCCUGCUGUGUUCGCUUUAUUUAUGACGAAUCAUACAGGGACAUCCAGUUUUUCAGUAUCAAAUACUGCUUUGGAGGGCUUCCCGGACAGC